rnacentral:siRNA from 1 species
AGAGGGCAACGAAUCAAUCAUGAC